rnacentral:rRNA from 1 species
UAUUGGUCAAUGGGCGGGAGCCUGAACCAGCCAAGUCGCGUGAGGGAGUAAGGCCCUACGGGUCGUAAACCUCUUUUGCCGGGGAGCAGGGCGGCGGACGUGUCCGCCGUUUGAGAGUACCCGGAGAAAAAGCAUCGGCUAACUCCGUGCCAGCAGCCGCGGUAAUACGGAAGAUGCGAGCGUUAUCCGGAUUUAUUGGGUUUAAAGGGUGCGUAGGCGGGCUUUUAAGUCAGCGGUAAAAAUUCGGGGCUCAACCCCGUCCGGCCGUUGAAACUGGGGGCCUUGAGUGGGCGAGAAGAAGGCGGAAUGCGUGGUGUAGCGGUGAAAUGCAUAGAUAUCACGCAGAACCCCGAUUGCGAAGGCAGCCUUCCGGCGCCCUACUGACGCUGAGGCACGAAAGUGCGGGGAUCGAACAGG